AUACGGAGGGUGCGAGCGUUACUCGGAGUCACUGGGCGUAAAGCGUCCGUAGGCGGUCGGGUAAGUCGGGUGUGAAAGCCCCGGGCUCAACCUGGGAAGUGCACCCGAUACUGCUCGACUCGAGUGCGGGAGAGGAUGGCGGAAUUCCCGGUGUAGCGGUGAAAUGCGUAGAGAUCGGGAGGAACACCAGUGGCGAAGGCGGCCAUCUGGCCCGCAACUGACGCUGAGGGACGAAAGCGUGGGGAGCAAACAGGAUUAGAUACCCCAGUAGUCC
rnacentral:rRNA from 1 species